rnacentral:lncRNA from 1 species
GAUCCUUAACCCACUGAGCGAGGUCAGGGAUCAAACCCACAACCUCAUGGAUCCUAGUCAGAUUCGUUAACCACUGAGCCACGACAGGAACUCCCCCAAUUCACCUUUUUAAAUCUCACAACACAAAGGCAAAUCUCCACCUUCUCCAUCCUCACCCCCAUCCCCCACCCCCAACUGCCUGGUAGACCUGCAGGCUCUGUGAGGUCAAUGGGCAAUGGUGACAAGUCAGCUGGGUCCAAAAUCUUCAGAGAGCUGGAGAGGAGGGAGGAGUGAAUGAGGGCCAGGGCACAAGGGACCUCACAGGCUAAAAGUGACGCUGGGCCAGGAAAAUAAAAUGUGAGAAAUGUGGCACUUUUGCUUCAAUAUCUGCUGGCUAUUCACCUUGCAGACACCAUUUCACUGUUCCGAAUCUGAGUUUCCACAUUCUUAAAACGAUGCCAGCAACAGGACCAGCCCCAAAGAGGGGUUGUUAGCAAAGUGCAAAACAAAGCCCCCUGGCUAUUGGGUUCCAUAAAUAUCUCAGAUUCGGAAACUGUCAGCUCUGGGAGACUCCCAGAGAUGAAUUCUCUCCCCCUCCCCCCAUUUUCCGGAAGCAAACCUGACACAGAGGGCUUACAGAAGGCUGCCCAGUGCUAUCCACACAUACUCAGCCUCCUCUGUAGCCCUUCACGCAAUUAUUUUAAGUGUGUAGAGCCCACUCAGCACUCUCCCUGCUUUAAACUAAUAUCUAACAGGGCUUUUGUUCAGUGAAAUGCCCGUUUUGGCAAGAAAUGAAGGAUCAACAAUAUUUAAAUAAAGUUGUAAGAAAACAAGCUAAUCACAACCUCCCCGAAUCCCAUUCACUCCACCACAAUAAUUUAUUUUCCUUUUCAGGUUUUGAGCAUCUACUUUGGGCUCUGGGCACUGACACAUGUGAAAUGGUACAGAGUUGAUAUUCUGCAUUGUGCCCUGGCAUCCUAGCAUAAAUGUAUUCCGUGUUGCUACAGUCUUCGUAAUUAUCAUUUAAAUGGCUCUAUAAUACCCCUUCACGUUGAUGCACCAUAAUUUACAAAACUGCUCACCAAUUGUUGGACAUCGAGGUUUUAUACAGCAUUUGUUAUUAGAGAUAAAGUUAUAAUGAGCAUCUUCAUGGCACAUAGCUCUUGGCUCCGAAUGAAUGAUACUCUCAGAAUAAAAGAGGAAUUCCCAGAAGUCAGUAUUUGGAAUCAAAGGGCAUAAAGCUCAUCAGAAUACUUAUCUAUUACAGUGGGGUUUUUUCCCUAAAAGAAUUGAAUCAAUCGAUGAUACACCAGUGGCGUAUACUGGUGCCACUUUUACCAUGAAGCCUCACCUUCUUGGAUGGUCUAGCUUUGUUUUACUUGACUCUUUUUUCCAUUUGUGACUGAAAUACAUGUUCAUUAUAGAAUAUGUGGAUAGGAAACAAAAAGAAAAUAAAAUCAUGGUAACUGCUCCAACCAAAAAUAACCACUACUGAAAGUUAAGCGUAUUUCUCUCCAGUCUUUUUUUUAGGCAUAUGAGAGCCUUCCCCCCACCCCCACAUUUAGAUCAUAUUCUAUAACCAGUUCUAUUCUGGUUUGUUGUGUUUUACUUUUGAUAUUCUUAAGCCAUUAUAAAUUUUUUAUAAUAUUCUAUCAUAGACAAUUUUCUUAAAGAUCCCAUGAUAUUGGAUGUUAAAAUUGUAACCAAGAUUCCCUAAAACAAAGUCAUUCACUCACAUCCUUCUGUAUAAAUCAGAAUCAUAAUCUUUACUUAUUAUUACUACAAUGCAAAGAACUUGAGGUAGAAAAACCAGACUAAGGGACAUAAACAUUUUUGAGAGACCUUGGAUUUUAAAGAAUAAAAUUGAGAAAUAGCAGGGGGAACUAUGUAUAUCCACCUGUGUCCUCAAGAAAGCAGCUUGGGUCUGGGAGGAACACAGGCGCUCAUCCAGACAGUACUCAGCUGCUUUAUCAGCGUCAAGACUUGGGAAAGUCCUCAACCGUCCAUGUUGGUUAACCGACUUCUAUCAUUUGUCAUUUGGGGUUGCAGAAUAUCCUAGUUGGAGAUUUCCAAGUUUAGAAGGAGAUAAAGCCCCUCUUCCCAUUCUGGAAGCCAAAGGAGGGCAAAGGAGGCCUUCUCUAUCUAAUCCCAAAACACACAGCACACAGAGAACAGGACUUGAGCAGAGCCAGACAUUCAGACGUGGCCUUGAUCUUGGAUCUUGGCUGCAUCUGCCUCCCUGGGCUCUUGCCCAUGGCUCUCCAAUCUUCAUAUCAACUUUGUGAGUUCCCUGAUAGCCUUCCAAUAAAUUCCUUUUCCUGCUUAAGUUAGGCAGAAUGAUUGUCAUCAAGAACCAACAAGGAGAGUUCCCAUCGUGGCUCAGUAGUAACGAACCCGACUAGUAUCCACGAUGAUUCAGAUUCGAUCCCUGGACUCGCUUCAUGGGUUUAGGAUCUAGUAUUGCCAUGAGCUGUGGUGUAGGUCACUGACAAUGCUCAGAUCCAGCAUUGUGCUGUGGCGUAGGCUGGCAGCUGCAGUUCUGAUUUGACCCUUAGCCUGGGAACUUCCAUAUGCCCUGGGUGUGGCCCUAAAAGGACAAAAAAAAGAGCCAACUAGAGCCAAUCUGCAGGGACCUGAGAUAAUGUGAGUACAUAUUCUGGAACGGCAUCAGGCACAGAGUAGGCACAAAGUAAGUGCUGCCAGCUAUCUGAUUACUAUGAUUGGGCAGCGUAGAAAAGCAGUCAAAAGCCAGGACUCUGCCUAGAGCCAGACCACCUGGGGUCCAUGCUGCUCCAUGUCUUACCCACUGGAUGACUUGGGGCAAGUUACCUAGCCUUUCUGUGUCCCAAGCUCCUCAUAUGCAAUAUGACAAUAGUAACAAUACCUACUCUUCAGGGUUCUUAUAAGGAGAAAAGGAAUGAACGCAUGUGAAAUCCUUAGAAGAGUUGCUUUCAAGGGUGUGCUAUUGUCAUUAUGGUAACAACCAACGUGAAUAUCACACCUUGUCAUCUUUAUACCACCUUUGCAAUCUCUAUACCAUUUAAUCGCAAUAACAUUCACAAGAGAGGUGAAAUUCUUCUUUUACAAAUUUGGAAACUGACGCUCAGAGAUGCUCCUUCCUGUCCAUUGUAGGGCCAGAGCUCAAACCCAUGAGCCCAGUUGCGACAACCAAGCUCUUUAUGGGUGUGAAUGUUGUUUGUUCUCAAUAAUUAUUCCUACACCAACAGCGAUGAAAGAGAGAACCAGCCCAGAGUGUCAAAAUACCUACUAUUUGCUCGGCACCCACUAGAGUCAGGUCUGUGCUCACAUGUGACACAGGUGUGAUUUACUUGUCACCUAUGUGCCAUCUACUUCUCACAGCAUGAUCGGUAGAUGAUCCCAUCUCUAUAAGGAGGAAACUGAGGCUCAGAAGUGUGUAGUACUUUGCUCAAGACAACACAGCGGUGAGCAGCCAACCCUGCCCUUUGCCCCAACACCCCUGACCCCCAAGCCUCUAAGCCUCUCUUUACCCUUGAAAGGGGUCACCCCCUCCUCCCACUCGCUCCCAGCUGAAAAAGCGCAAAAAGGUUAUCUUCGCUAGCAAAUUGGCUUUUAGAAGCUGGAGGUUAAAUUAGCAAACGUGUGACCAGUUUUUUGCAGGCAAGGUUCGCAGGCAGCCAGCCUGGGCGGGCACUGGGGCUCCAGAUCGCGGCGGUUUUGACUGUGGGCUGCCUGACAGCAGCUGCACUCCGUAUCCUGUUUAUACAAUGAAUCUAUAAUGUAAUUUCACGAGGUUCUGAGAUGCACCGAGAAACAGGCGAGGACUCCGUGCCUCGGCCUAAUCCAUAUGAAACAGGCCGGGUCCGCACCUGGUAAACACGCCAGGGAAGAGCGAGGCUGCAGCCGGGUCCGUCCGCAUCUAAAAGGGAUUAUCGCGGAGGAGCGGGCAAGCGGCGCCCUGGAGCGAGUAUUCGCGGAGGCAGCGGGUCUGGACCCGAGCGAUUUGUGGACGGUUCAUGGGCGUCUCCAAACCGACCCCUCCUACAGCGAAUGGGAUGUUUAUGACUCUGGGAACAGGUGCCUAAGGAGUGACAAUAGAUUUAAGAGCAAAAGACCCAUUUCUGCUCCCUAAAGUACUUUUUAAUCAGAACCCUAUUGUCAGAAACCUGGAAAGAACUGGGGCUCCCCCCACCAACAUUGGUUUUGUUUUCCACCUGUGAGUCUGUGUGUUCAUGUAUGUGUAUUCAUUCAUUCAUUCCUUCAUUCAUUCAGCAAACAUGCCACUCCUCUUGCUCAGCCCUUGAGCUAGCAGCUGGACAGGCAGAUCAUGAAUAAGAUAUGCCCAUUCAUUUAAAGCAUACUUACUGAGCAGGUUCUGUGAACCAGCUACUGUUUGGGUGCCAAAACAGCAAAAUCCCUGCUUCUGUUCCAGUGGGACAGACAGUCAACAGACAAGGUAAGUAACAUAUACAGUGAUCAGUUCCAAGGCUAAAAAUGCAGGGGUCCAGGUGGCCAGAAGAAGUCUCACAGCAACCCCCUGAGGCUAUUUUGCAAAGACGAAAACUGAGGCGGGGAAGGCCAAGUCCAAGAGCGAUCAUACCCAACCUUUCUGUGCAUAAAUCCCCAAAGAGUUGCCAAAGCCCUUUCAGAUAACGUUGCUCCUUUAACCCUUUGCAUUCAUGGGGGCUCUCCAGAGAAACAAAACCAAUAGUUGGUAGAGAUAUAGAUUGAUUAUGAGGACUGGCUCACAAGAGUUUGGGCACUGACAAGUCCUAAGAGGUACAGUCUAUGAGCUGGGGAGCCAUGAUGUUGUUCCAUCAGAAGACUGGCAGGCUGGAGACUCAGGGAGAGCUGAUACUUCAGCAAGAGUCCAGCAUCUCAACUCAAAGACCUUCAGGUAGGAGGAAGUCCCUUUCCUUCUGGGGAAGGUCUGCAUCUUGGUCUACGCAGGCCUUCAGCCAUAGUUUCUUCUUUUGUAUGGCUGAGUAAACUGUCCAUUUCAUCAUGGUUUGUUCAGCCAUUCACCCACUAAAGGACAUGUGGGUGUUUCCAGUGUUUGAUGGUUAUAAAUAAACACUUGCAUUCAGGUGUUUGUGUGAACCAACCACCAAACGAUGCUUUUAUUUCUCUUGGACAAAUGCAUAGGAGUGAAAUUGUGGGGUAACAUGAUAAGUGUAUAUUUAAUUUGCUAAGACAGCCAGAGCAUUUUCCACAGCGUCUGUACCAUUUUGCACUCCCACCAUUGCAUACAUUGUGUGUGUGUGUGUGUGUGUAUGUGUGUGUGUGUGUGUGUGUAGGGGUGUGAGUGUGUGUGUUUUCUGUCUCCCCAAAGUAGAAAGUAAUCUGCCUGAGGGUUGGUGAGGGUUAGGUGGGGACUUUGUUUGGCUUGCUGCUGUCUCCUCAGGGUCUGAUAAGAGGCACUCUCAAUAAAUACCUGUUGGUUUUAGAAAUAAAUGAACUCAGUAAUUUUCACAAUUUGCAGCUAUCUAGUAAGGCGGGCAGUAUUGUGCCCAUGUUGAAAACUGAGACCCAGAGCCCUUCGGGGACCCACUUCUGUUGUAUUUGAACCCAGAAAACAAGCACGUAUACCCACAUCCCACUCCAGCCCUGGGGAUGGGGGGAACAUUUGUCCCUGAGCUGUCGGGUGGGUUUUAAUUGAACUUAAUCGAACGCCAGGGUCCCAAAAUCUGAAGACGACCCACAAGGCACCAAGUGAGUGGUGAAUGGACCCCUACAGCUGUCAUACAGCAAUCCAGACCUGUAGCUGUUCCACUAUCCUGGGCCAGAAAGCAGGUUUGGAGGUAGAAAUAAACCAAGACCACUCAUGGAGAAGCUACAGAAGCUGUUUAUUCUGAGCGUGCUCUCACAAGGGAGUCAGCCACCAUCACU